rnacentral:rRNA from 1 species
CAACUCUGAGCGGUGGAUCACUCGGCUCGUGUGUCGAUGAAGAGCGCAGCCAACUGUGUGAAUUAAUGUGAACUGCCUACCGCCUUGAACAUCGACAUCUUGAACGCAUAUUGCGGCCAUUGGUUCGCCUGUGGCCACGCCUGUCCGAGGGUCGGCU